ensembl:snRNA U1 U1 spliceosomal RNA
AUACUUAUCUGGCAGUGGAGAUACAUGAUCACAAAGGUCGUUUUCCCAGGCAGGCUUAUUCAUUGCACUCCGUAUGUGCUGACCCCUGUGACUUUCCCAAAUGUGGGAAACUUGACUGCAUAAUUUGUGGUAGUAGGGGACUGUGUUCGUGCUUUCCCCUG